rnacentral:rRNA from 1 species
GACGAACGCUGGCGGCGUGCUUAACACAUGCAAGUCGAGCGGUAAGGCCCUUUCGGGGGUACACGAGCGGCGAACGGGUGAGUAACACGUGGGUGACCUGCCCUCAGCUCUGGGAUAAGCCUGGGAAACCGGGUCUAAUACUGGAUAUGACUCCAUGACGCAUGUUGUGGGGUGGAAAGCCUUGUGCGGCUGAGGAUGGGCCCGCGGCCUAUCAGCUUGUUGGUGGGGNGAUGGCCUACCAAGGCGACGACGGGUAGCCGGCCUGAGAGGGCGACCGGCCACACUGGGACUGAGACACGGCCCAGACUCCUACGGGAGGCAGCAGUGGGGAAUCUUGCGCAAUGGGCGAAAGCCUGACGCAGCGACGCCGCGUGGGGAUGACGGCCU